GGAAAGAGAGGAGAGUUGAGUUGGGAUUUUGACUUUGUUGGGUUUGUUGGAGUUGAAAACGGUGGAGAUUUUGGGGGGAUUAAGGAAAUGGGUAGGCAAAAUUGUGGAUAAUGCAAGGGAAAUUGAGGCUAUGGGUAAAGUUUGUUGUUGUUGUUGUUGUUGGGGUAUGGGGGUUGUAUUUUGUUGUUCUUCGUUAGAUGUUUGGUUUUCUAGGUUGUUGUUUGACGAUUGGUUGUUGGGAUCCAUUUUUAAGGUUUUGAGUGAGAAAUGGAGAGGUAAAGAGGAGGAAGAAGAACAAGAGGUGGAGAUGAAAAGAUAGGUGAAGGGUUGAUGACCUCCAAAGAAU
rnacentral:lncRNA from 1 species